AGAAAGGAAGGAAGAAAGGAAGAAAGGAAGGAAGAAGGGAAAGAAGAAGGGAAGGAAGGAAGGAAGAAAGAAAGAAAAUAAGGAAGGAAGAAAGAAAGAAAAAGAAAGAAAGGAAGGAAGGAAGGAAGGAAGGAAGGAAGAAAGAAAGGAAGGAUGGAAGGAAAAGAAGAAAGAAAAAGAAGAAAGAUAAGGGAAGGGAAGAAGGAAGGAAGGAAGAAGAAAAAAGGGAGGGAGGGAGGAGGGGAAAACAAGCAUUUAUUAAGGACCUUUUAUGUAUGAAGCACUGUAUGUACUAAAUCCUUUGUAAAUAUCAUUUGAUCCUCAUAACAAUUCUGGGAGGUUAAGUACUACUAUUGUACCUACUUUAUAUUUAAGGAAACUGAAAGAGAUAAAAGUGACCUACCCAGGGUCACACAACUAGUUAUGUGUCUGAAGUAAAAUUUGAACUCAAAUCUCCCUGAUGCCAGGCCCAUGCUCUAUUCACUAUGCCACCUUGAAUCCCAUUUUUGCCCAUUCCUUUUUGUAUAAUUCUCAGCAAAUUCUCAUUUUUCUAGGUCUCAAUAUUUUUUAAUCUGUUGAAGGAAGAAAUUGGACCAGAUCACCUCUAAGGCCCUCCUACCUUUCAGUGUACGAUCCUGUUAUAAGAUUCAGAAAUUAGGUGAUAGUUAUUACCUUUUUCAAAAGAACAUGAUCCUCUCAGAUACUGGAGAAUACAUUUGCUCUGCAAAGAAUGCAGUGGGAAAAGUGAAUUGUUCAGCAAGCAUCAUAGUUACAGGGAAAAAGAGAAGAAAUGUGAGGUAUAACUGAGGCAAAAAUUGAAAAUGGACCUAAGUUUUUACUGGAAUGUACAACCACAAAUAGAGAGGAGCAAGGUCCAGCUACAAUCGUCAGUCAAAUGUCAAUGAUAAAACAGUUUUCAGUGAGGUUUUUGCUAUUGUUUUUUAUAGAGAUGACAGAACUGAGAUAUGAAGAAAAUGUCAACGAGAAUGGCCACUUGAUAUGGAAAGGACACAACAAAAGUAUCAGAAACAAGCUGAAUGAGAGAAUGUUUAACAGGAGAUAAAGACUGCCUGUGAAGUCAGAAGACCUGGAUUCAAUUCCUAACUCUUAGCAUAUUAGCUAUGUAACCCUAGACAAAGUACUUAACCUCCCAGUGCUUUAGGCCAGAGGUAUCAAAUAUAUAUGCAACACACAGAUGCAUAUGAUCCACAGCACUGCAAAUGAGGCCCAAAGCAGAUUAAAAAUAAUUGGGAAAUAUUUAAGAAAAAAUUUUAAAAUAUGAUACAACGUAAAUAAUGUUAAUUUAUGAUUUUCUAAGUCAAUAUAUAGAGUAUCUCAGA